AUCGCUUCUCGGCCUUUUGGCUAAGAUCAUGUGUAAAAAGCAUCUAAGGUGUAGUUAUUAAAUUAUAUAUAUAUAUAUAUAUAUAUAUAUAUAUAUAUAUCUGGUUAAUAUUUUGAGCAAACAUUU
rnacentral:snRNA from 1 species